rnacentral:rRNA from 1 species
CCUACGGGUGGCAGCAGUGGGGAAUAUUGGACAAUGGGCGAAAGCCUGAUCCAGCCAUGCCGCGUGUGUGAAGAAGGCCUUCGGGUUGUAAAGCACUUUCAGUGGGGAAGAAAGCCUUGGGGCUAAUACCCUCGAGGAAGGACAUCACCCACAGAAGAAGCACCGGCUAACUCCGUGCCAGCAGCCGCGGUAAUACGGAGGGUGCGAGCGUUAAUCGGAAUUACUGGGCGUAAAGCGCGCGUAGGCGGUCUGAUAAGCCGGUUGUGAAAGCCCCGGGCUCAACCUGGGAACGGCAUCCGGAACUGUCAGGCUAGAGUGCAGGAGAGGAAGGUAGAAUUCCCGGUGUAGCGGUGAAAUGCGUAGAGAUCGGGAGGAAUACCAGUGGUGAAGGCGGCCUUCUGGACUGACACUGACGCUGAGGUGCGAAAGCGUGGGUAGCAAACAGGAUUAGAUACCCGAGUAGUC